UUAUUUAUUUUAUUAUAUUUAUUUUUUGUUUAUUUAAUUAUUUAAUAGAAAUAAUUUUAUUGAAUUUUGUCUUAGUAUAUUUUGUAGAAUUGAUUUUUUAAAUUAUAGUUUAUUGGUAAUGUAAUUGUUUUAUGAAAUAUUAUUUUAAAUUUUUAAAAGUAUAUUUUAUUUAUUGUACCUUUUGUAUCAGGGUUUAUCAAAAUUUUAGUAUUUAAUUUACUUGUCUCGAUUUGGGUUGAUUUAUAAAUAAUUUACAGUUAAUGUAUCAUAAUUAUUAUUAAAUUAUUUAUUGAAAUGAAAUGUUAAUCGUUUCCCAAGAUAUCUAGUUUCUUAAGAAAAAUUUUAAUUUUUUAAAGUUAAUUGUUUUUAUUUAAUUUUUUAAUUAUAAAUAUUAACUUAUUUAUUCUUUAAGGGAUAAGCUUUGAAGUUAAUAACCUAUAAUUUGUUUUUAUAAAAUAUAAUAGUAAGCUUUAAACCAGCUAUCUUUAAGAUUACGUUUUAGUUCAUUAUUUUCUAUUUUGAUUUUAUAAUUAUUUUAGGUUUUUUAUUAAGAUUAUUUAUUUAAUUUUAAAAUUUUUGUAAUAAUGAUAGAAUUAGUAUAUUUAUUUGUAUAUAAUUUUUACCUUGUGAAUUUAUUAUAAGGAACUAGGCAAAAUUGAUUUCCGCCUGUUUAUCAAAAACAUGUCCUCUUGAAAAUACUUUGAGGUCUGGCCUGCUCACUGAGCGGAUUUUUAAAGAGCCGCGGUAUUUUGACCGUGCAAAGGUAGCAUAAUCAUUAGUCUCUUAAUUAGUGGCUGGAAUGAAUGGCUUGACGAGAAAUCAACUGUCUCUUAAUAAAUUUUUGAAUUUAAC
rnacentral:rRNA from 1 species